GGUUAAGCGACUAAGCGUACACGGUGGAUGCCCUGGCAGUCAGAGGCGAUGAAGGGCGUGCUAAUCUGCGAUAAGCGCCGGUAAGGUGAUAUGAACCGUUAUAACCGGCGAUACCCGAAUGGGGAAACCCAGUGUGACUCGUCACACUAUCAUUAACUGAAUCCAUAGGUUAAUGAGGCGAACCGGGGGAACUGAAACAUCUAAGUACCCCGAGGAAAAGAAAUCAACCGAGAUUCCCCCAGUAGCGGCGAGCGAACGGGGAGGAGCCCAGAGCCUGAAUCAGCAUGUGUGUUAGUGGAAGCGUCUGGAAAGGCGCGCGAUACAGGGUGACAGCCCCGUACACAAAAGCGCAUGUGCUGUGAGCUCGAUGAGUAGGGCGGGACACGUGGUAUCCUGUCUGAAUAUGGGGGGACCAUCCUCCAAGGCUAAAUACUCCUGACUGACCGAUAGUGAACCAGUACCGUGAGGGAAAGGCGAAAAGAACCCCGGCGAGGGGAGUGAAAAAGAACCUGAAACCGUGUACGUACAAGCAGUGGGAGCCCCACCACCAAAGC
rnacentral:rRNA from 1 species